GAUGAACGCUAGCGGCAGGCCUAAUACAUGCAAGUCGAGGGGCAGCAUCAUCGCUUGCGAUGGAUGGCGACCGGCGCACGGGUGCGUAACGCGUAUGCAACCUACCCUUUACAGGGGGAUAGCCCGGAGAAAUUCGGAUUAAUACCCCAUGGUACCAUAAAGUAGCAUUGCUUAAUGGUUAAAGAUUUAUUGGUAAAGGAUGGGCAUGCGUCUGAUUAGUUAGUUGGCGAGGUAACGGCUCACCAAGACGACGAUCAGUAGGGGUUCUGAGAGGAUGAUCCCCCACACUGGCACUGAGAUACGGGCCAGACUCCUACGGGAGGCAGCAGUAGGGAAUAUUGGUCAAUGGACGAGAGUCUGAACCAGCCAUGCCGCGUGCAGGAAGACGGCCUUCUGGGUUGUAAACUGCUUUUAUCAGGGAACAAAGAGUCCAUGCGUGGAAAGUUGCGUGUACCUGAAGAAUAAGCACCGGCUAACUCCG
rnacentral:rRNA from 1 species